rnacentral:misc_RNA from 1 species
AAGUCGUAACAAGGUUUCCGUAGGUGAACCUGCGGAAGGAUCAUUACUGAGUUAGGGUCUUUAGAGGCCCGAUCUCCAACCCUUGUGUUUAUUAUACCACGUUGCUUCGGCGGGCCCGUCUUAACUGACCGCCGGAGGGUGUCAAACCCCUCUGGCCCGCGCCCGUCGACAGCCUCCAAACCAAAACUCUUGAACAACUAUAUUGUCUAAGUCUAAAAGUUAAUUAAAACAAAA